UAGGGAAUCUUCGGCAAUGGGGGGAACCCUGACCGAGCAACGCCGCGUGAGUGAAGAAGGUUUUCGGAUCGUAAAGCUCUGUUGUUAAGGAAGAACGAGUGUGAGAAUGGAAAGUUCAUACUGUGACGGUACUUAACCAGAAAGGGACGGCUAACUACGUGCCAGCAGCCGCGGUAAUACGUAGGUCCCGAGCGUUGUCCGGAUUUAUUGGGCGUAAAGCGAGCGCAGGCGGUCAAUUAAGUCUGAUGUGAAAGCCCCCGGCUCAACCGGGGAGGGUCAUUGGAAACUGGUUGACUUGAGUGCAGAAGAGGAGAGUGGAAUUCCAUGUGUAGCGGUGAAAUGCGUAGAUAUAUGGAGGAACACCAGUGGCGAAGGCGACUCUCUGGUCUGUAACUGACGCUGAGGUUCGAAAGCGUGGGGAGCGAACAGG
rnacentral:rRNA from 1 species